GAAAUGUGGGAAGUACUUGACGGAGAGUGGGCAUCUAAAUUAGAUCAUGCUCGAGUGAUCUCUGGAGUGUCCUUGGAGGCCUGAAAUGAGGAGCAAUUGUUGUGUUGGAAGGACAAACAUCUCCGCCUCCAGGUUGUGCUCUAUGGGACUGCUAAGCACUAUGGAACUGCAAGAAUGCCUGUAUAAUUAUAUCCGCUGUCCAAUUAGCAGUGCUGCAGCGUGAUGCCUACCUGAUGCUCUAGGAAUGUUGGAGUCCAAUUGCAAGAAAUGAAGCGCUACGUGAUAACCGUGUUGGUUGGUGAGUUUCCGCAGCGCUGCUGAGCACGCAGGCUUCCCCGACCGUGCCUUGGUCACCGCACUCCGUUGUGUGGUCGUCGUGUCUCACAGCCCCAGGCACCUUGCUGCGGUGCUGCUGGCGGCAGCGGAGAACUGCGGGGCUCCUGGGUGGUGCCGGAACUGCACGGAGACCUGUGGCUCCUCAUGAAGUCAGCUUGAAGCAGAAACCUGGAUUUCCUGGAAUGCCUCGGAACCCUCCUUGUCUGUCUGGUAACUGGUUGCCCAUACAGGUAAGGGUACUGUACACCCACCGAUGUUUACCCUUUCCGUAGCGUGGCUCAAUGUAGUGCUCCCUGAGCUUGUAACUGCGCUUGAGGGUACCCUGAAGGCUGCCUGUUUUUUCUCCUGCUGUGUUCUCCUUGCCUCUGCCUCUUCCUAGGCUUUCCCUCGGUUGUAGUCCUUGUCCUUGGU
rnacentral:lncRNA from 1 species